UGGCGGGUAAAUUGUAAAAGUAAAAUAAAUAAAAGACUAUUAAAUUAGAGAAAAAUUAAAUUCAUGCUCAAAUUUGAUUCAUUCCAUUUAAACCACCCAACCCCACGACCCAUAUUCAUAAUUCAAACAACUUCACACCCAACAAACACUAAUUAACCAAGCAAAAUAUCUGACAGAAGGCAACAAGAAAGUAAGGACUAAAGGAAGCUAAAAUACUAAUAACUACGAGGUAAAGAAAUGUGAACCAAAGCCAUUAGGAAGAGCCAUUUAAAGAAUACUAUCCCAACUCCAUGUCAAAUUCCUAAGUUCACACUUAAUCAAACAUAAAAUUGUUUUGUUCGCUUUUUAUUCUGAAACCCAGAUACGUGAUGACCAUAGCUUUGGGGCUACUGGCCUUUAAGAUUAAAAGGCUACCAUAUAUGAAAUCACUCCCAUAAUAUUUUAUGAGACUCAAACAAAAGAGAAAUUAAGAGUAACAAAUCAACACCAAGUUUAAAGGAACAAAUUACAGAAUAAUAAGGGAGGAAAAGAUGUGAACCUGAAAUAGCAAUUUUCCUUGAAUAGCAAAAUGAAGCAAGUCGGCUAUAAAUUUUGAGUUCAGAAACCGAAUGAGAAAAACAACGCAAGACAUAGAGGCGACACAGAAUCACGACCGAACCCGGAAUGCUCGAGCUCGAACUCCCACUGCCUCAAAUGGCGACCAGAGCUCACUCCAACUCCAUUUUGAUUGUUUCUUAGAAAUGGCUUAAAAUUAAUGUUUUGGAGGAACAGCGAACGCCAGACUCUACUAAAGUAUAUAAUUGAAGAUUCGAUUGAGCUUUUUUAAAAAAAAAAAGAAAACGAAAAAAAAACAAUUGAAGAAUCCAAAGUUUUCGAUCAAGGAUGGGAUUUUUGUUCUCUGUUUUAUGAGUGCUUUUGUUACUGUUUAACCAAAAAAAAUUAUUUGGUCAAAGCUAGACUUUUGAGAGAAGAAAUCGGGUUACUGAUAAUCAAGAGACCAAAAAGAAUAGGAGGCUUUAUGAGAAUAUAAAUAAAGCAAUAAAAAGUUUGUAUUUCAAUAUGAUGUGAAUGGUUUCCGUGUCCUUACAAAUGAUGAAACUUCCUCCUUUUUUAGGUAAUAAGGAGUAACUGUUUAAUCUAAAUAAUAAAGGACAUUUAAUGAGACGUUACACAAUCAUUGCUAUUAAAUACUGAUUCUAUAACGUAUCUGACAUUUAAUAAUGAAUUUAGACUACUUUUUGCUAUCAGAUUCUCGUCUUUAGCGCUCUUUUUACUCGUUGGCAUUAAAUGACUUGAAUUGGUACAGAACUACCAUCAGAUUCUCGUCUUCAGUACUCUUUUUACCCGGUGGCAUUAAAUGACUUGAAUUGGUAUGAAACUCGUGUCUAAACUCCUUCCCGUGCCUGUUUACAUUUUUCUUCCCGUAUCUGUCGUCUCCCGUGCCUUUUAUUGGAUUAUUACACUUUGACUAUUUGACCCGCCCACGUGUCAUGCCACAUCAUCUUUAAUUUAAAUUCAGUUUUUUCCCAAUACAGAUAGUCCCCCCACUUUCCAUUUAUUUGUCAAUUAAAUAAUUGGGAAGUGGAUCUUCAUAAAAAAGAAAUUUUUUGUCACAAUUAAUGCGUCUGACAGUAUUGACGCCUCAGUUGUCUUUAUCAUUUAAUGCUUCAUACACGUGUUAUCCUUUGAUUGGAUCUACAAUUUUACACCCUUUUUCAAAGCCUCUUUAUUCCACUAUUCACGAAGUGAUAGUUACCUUUAUUAUAGGCUUUCCAUCAUUACACUUCUAAGACGGUUGUCAUCAUAUACAU
rnacentral:lncRNA from 1 species